CCACCCUUCCCCACGCGCUGUCGCCGACCGCCCUCCCUACCACACGUUGCCGUGACACAACCGCGUCCGUCACCGUCCUUCGCCGCCCAGCCAACCUCCUUCUUCCGCGCCGUCGGCGACCUCCCUCCAUGCAUCGUGCUCCCCCUCCAUCAACGUGUGGGUCAUGGGGUCGUCACCCUCGGCCGCUCCCCCGUGCACCACGCACCUCCGGCGUCGUCGCGACCCAUUGAACAACAAGCAUCCCUUCCUGGAUCCGGUCGCCUCCCUCCCCACUCUGUGACUUCAGAUGGAGAUGUGUGUGUGUGCAUACAUGUGUUCUAGAGACAGGAGAACUUAUCUGGUGGUGUCUGUGUGUGCUGCUGCAUCCUCUUCCGGCCGCUCUAAUUCACACCCUCAGUACAACUUCUGUAUGACCUCGUGUAAAGCAAGCAUGGCCAACACAUAGUUUAGGUGUCGCGGUAGUACUCAUUGUUUAUGGUGGCCUUCUUUUGUACCGCUACCACUUUGUUACCUAGAGUAGUACUGCCACUACUUAUCAUGUUGAUAAAUCCUCGCGAACAGUAUAUGCAUUUGAUUAAUGAUUCUGUAGGGAGAAAAAGUUCACCAAUAUACAAUCUCUAAGUUCGAUGUACCAAUCUUUUUGUUUAGUAGUUGGUACUGCUCAAGUUUAUUUCUUGAUGUACACAUGAUGUCAAAUUUCUUCUUUGAGUUCGGUUCAAUUUAUAAAUUUUGUUCAGUUCAGCGAGGUGGAUAUUGGGGCAUGGUGGGGUGUGGCCAUGUGGGUGGAGAUGGCCCGCCACAACGUCGCCAGCCGAAUCCCGCUGCCAUGUGCUCGAUCCAGCAGGUCUCCUCCCUCCCGGUGCUAGCCUCCUCGAGCUCCGUCGCCGACCAACUCCACCCCGGGUCCUGACGUAGCCCCUCAGUUCGACAUGCAUCUGCUGCGUGCUUGCUGUGGCCUGCGUGUGCUGGUGUGUUCGUGCAUGCACGAUAUAACUGAACUGAGCAUUUCUACCAUAUCUGAACCGCAGGUGGGAUGCAUCCUCUACAAAAAAGAUUCUCCGAUGCUCCUCGUCAGCUAGUGGGCCAACACGGGGGUCCUCACUGUGGCCUCCCCCACGAUGAUCUGAGUUGCACUCAUGGAAUUCUCUACUUCCCCACCUAGCAGAUCACGACGGCUCUCCCCCUCCUACUGCUCAGCAUCAUUGAUCUCAACGACGAAUAGGGACAAAAAUAAACGUGAAUCUUGUCGUCCUCUUGAUGCAACCAAAUCCCAGCGCACCUGGUAGUUCAAACUUACAUUGGAUGGCCGGCGACCAACUGCCCCGCCUCUACAAGCUCCUCAGGGAUGACUUGGUAAUAGUUGGGAUCCCCUACAGCGGCCAAAUCCCGGCGCACCCAGCUGCCUCUCGUGGUCCCCGCUCCUUCAGCUCCACUUCACCGGCGCUGUCAGUCCACAGGAGUAGGGGAGGCGUGCCCAUCAACAAACAAGAACAUAAGGUAUGUGCUUGGAAACUUAAAAUUCCGUACACAUUUGGGAAACAGAAGUUGUAGCUUGUUUCAAAGUUCAAAACGAAAAAGAUAUUCAGUUCAACUUGUUCUAGCAAACCAUGUGUGAGACACCAUAGAGUGAAAAUGUUGCUGUGUUGCCAUGUCUCUUAUUGGUUCAACUACAAAUAAUUACAUCCCUUCGACUACAUAUAUUACACUAGUUCAACUGUGUGCGUCACACCAAUGGACCUAAGUUUUACAUAUGUUAUCAGUUUGAAAAAACUUUGGAUUUUGAUGAUGCAAGCUGUAUCUACAUAGUUCUUUUUUCUAUUUCCUAUAAGUUCAAGUGAGCAAUUUCUAUAAGUUGGCGGGUUGUUUACUCAGGCAGUUAAAAAAAGUGGUCAUUGUUGUCUCUUUUAAAAGAUGUUCGAGUGAUUCUUGUCAAAAUGCUGCCAAUGUUAAGAGAAGAACUCCUUCCUCCAUUGGCUGUCUCAGUUCAUCUGGUUAAACAUCUCAGUGCAACUAUAUUGACUAUGCCUGGAACAGUAACAUGGUGACGGUUGUGUUUCAUACAUCCAAGCAAUAUGAUGCUUGCAACGGAGUAUUGUACCAAGCUACAAUUUGCAUUGAAAUGCCGCUACCACUAUGUAUUUGUACUUAAACGAACUUGUAGAAACAACUCUUUCUAUCUCACUCGUACUUCUAUUUUUUGUAUGGGGCAUCUUCUAGCAUAUGAUUGUACUCAUUUUCCUUUAGAUAACUACUCCCUCCGUUCCGAAUUACUUGUCGCAGGUAUGGAUGUAUCUAGAUGUAUUUUAGUUCUAGAUACAUCCAUUUCUGCGACGAGUAAUUUGGAACGGAGGGAGUACUUAUUAAAAAGAUAUAUCAGUCGGCAUGCUAAAUUUCAAUUUCCCAUUUUAAAGUUCAGAUUUUGCUGCAUCUAAAGUGCACCUAUGCUAAUUCUUUUCAUCGAAGGGAGAAGCAGCAGGGACAGUACGCGUCGGUGUCUAUAUUCAGCUUUAUUUUUGUUUUGGAGUUGAUGUGAAAGAGCUUUUGAAAGCAAACAUCAGUCCAGUUUCGUUUUGUAUCAGCUGCUCCAAGGAAUGAAGUACAUGCAGCAAAUGUUUUCCAUCGGGAUCUGAAGCCCAAGAAUAUUCUAGCGAAUGUUGACUGCAAGAUGAAAUUUGUGAUUUUGGACUUGCCCGUGUACCAUUUAAUGACGGGGCUCCAUCAGCCAUAUUCAGAAGUUUGAUUUUGUGAAGAAGUAUGCAAAAUUUCAAUGCAGGUGUGGAGAACCAAAAAGUUCUAACGACGGUGAAUCACAAGUUCAAGGACAGCAAUCCGGGGGCAUGGGGGCAUCUGCUGAUGCAAAUCUUGGUACUGAUGUGUUUAAGUCAAAGGACUUCGGUGUGUUUGUUGUAACCCAUAAAAUGGAAAAUGUUCUCUGGUGCCUAAUCUUGUUUCCACUUAUGUUUAUA